UACGAAGGGGGCUAGCGUUGCUCGGAAUCACUGGGCGUAAAGCGCACGUAGGCGGGUCGUUAAGUCGGGGGUGAAAUCCUGGAGCUCAACUCCAGAACUGCCUUCGAUACUGGCGAUCUUGAGUCUGGGAGAGGUGAGUGGAACUCCGAGUGUAGAGGUGAAAUUCGUAGAUAUUCGGAAGAACACCGGUGGCGAAGGCGGCAUCCUGGACCGACACUGACGCUGAGGAGCGAAAGCCAGGGGAGCAAACGGG
rnacentral:rRNA from 1 species